UGCACUCUAGCCUGGAUGACAGCAAGACUCUAUCUCAAAAAACAAACAAACAAAACCAAAACAGUAUCUCAUGUUUCUUAUUGGCUGUGACCAAGUAACUUCAUUGCUUUCAACCUUGAUCUGCUCACCUGUAAAACUGAGACCUUAUAAUUUGUUGUGAGAUUUAAAAGAGAAACAUGUUCAUUUCCUUCCUCUUUGGGGCUCAGAAGGAAUCCGAUGGGCGUCUUGCAGCUCCGAGCCUGAUGAAGAAUUGUAGCUGCUGUGCCUCAAGACAGAUAAGCACAGGUCGUCCCAGUAGGGAUGCCACCUUGGGGACUGUGAACCUCCGCUGAGGCCAGGCCAUGCCCUGUGUCUGUAUCCCGAACUGCGGGAUUUCUCUGAUCCGCCAGGGAAAGGCCUGCCACCUCGUGGCCGCUUCAGGAACUGCUCCAAAGGCAGUCUGCUCUUGGGAACCUACCUGCUUAGGUAGCUCGCUGAGGUCUGGAACCGCAGCACACUGCAAGUUAUCUUCACGUGGAGGUGAAGCUGCCUGUAUGGAAGACUCUUGGAUCAGUCGUCUGAGCACAUGUCCAGCAAUGGGCAUGAGUGGCCUAGCCAGGGACUUGGGGUGCCAGAAGAGCCGACUGUACAGCACGUGGUGCCCCUAGCAAGGAUUGGGUGGUGUUUAAAAAGAAAAAAGGUCGUGCAGAUGGUCUGACAGCCUGUCGACCAUGGGCGUGGUGCUCAUAGCAGCUGGGCACUGCCGGGGUACCAGGCUGUGUGCUGGGUGCUUCAAAGAUGUCCUCUUGUGGAUCAGCCCAUCUGUGGCGAGGAGGGGACCGGGCUCAGCCAGGUUAGAUGUGACUUGCACAAGGUCAUGUGGGUGAAAGGAAGGCAGAACUCUUGUGUAUUUCUCCUGACUGAUCCCAGAUUUUGCGUCAGGACUGAAGACAGAACCCACAUGUGUCCAGCACUGGGUGAUUGCUGCCAUGAGCUGCAUUGCUGUGAUCCCUCGGUGAGGGCAUGGAUUUUCAUCCUUGUAUUCAACUUUGAAAGAAGCAAAUGUAGAAAGAUACAAAUAUGAUGGGCGUGGCAGACAGAAUUUUAAAGGUGGGCCCACUGACUCGUACCCGUGGCUGUUCAGUUAAACGCUAGCCUAGAUGCUGCUGUGCAGGGACUUUGACGAAGGAAUGAAAGUCCCAAGCCAUCUGACUUUGAGAUCAGAGAUGAUCUGGUGGGCUUGACCUCCUGAGCUUAAUGAAAGCAGGGAGCUUUUCCAGCUGUCAGCAGAGAGGAAGGUGUGAGAAAGACUGGAAUUAACAUUGCUGGUUUGAAGGAGGAAGGGGUUGUGUGAGAAGGUGUGUGGGUGACUUAUAGGAGCAGGGAGUGGCCCCCAGCCAUGGAAUGAGGACCCCAGGCCUGCAGCCACCAGGAGCUGGACUUUCGGGGCCACCUGAAUGCACCUGGAAGCGGAUUCUCCCCCAGAGCCUCCAGGUAAGAGCUCAUCCCUGCCACCACCUUGAUUUAGACCUUGUAAGACCUGGAGUGGAGAACCCAGUUUAAAUCACUUAAGCCAUAUGAUAACCCUGUGGGGCAGGCAUUACUUUUUUUCCCUCCCCAUUUUAUCUUUAUUUUGGACUUUGGUACCCAGAAUAGAUUCAUCAUAAACCUUUGGUUCCCAUUCUCACCUUCAUGCCUGCCCUGUUCUUGGCCUGCUUCUGUUUGUUUCGUUGCUACAAUCAACGUCCCUGGACCCAUCACGCAGAAGAAGCCGAGGCUCCCAGGUUAAGAGACUUGCCUGGAAAAGCGUUAACUGACAGCUUGGCAGCAGAGCCACCGCUCCUUCCCCCUCGCGUGCUGGUUCCAAACCGAAAAUGAUGUUCUGGGGCUUUGUUACGGCUGCACAGGAGGACCGGUGCCCCUCCUGCCUGGCUUGCCCAUCCCAGGAACAGGGAGCUCCUUGCCUGACCGGGAGGCCUCUGUGGACAACUCCGAGAGCAAGCUCUCCCCGAGACUGAGCCAACCACCCCUCCCACAGCUCUGGCCACUGGCCCUUGUUCUGCCCCUGAUCCCACCUGAAUGGAGGGCGUCAUGCCAGGGUCCUCAACAAGCGUGAGUCACGGCCUGCACAGCCACCCUGGACCCCACCGUGGGAAGCUGUCAGAGGCUGCGGAUCAGAGGAGGAGGGAGAAUUUUGAGCAGAGUUGGAGUCUUCCUCUGUCACCCAGGCCAGAGUGCAG